rnacentral:rRNA from 1 species
AAAAACAUUUUUUAUAAUAUUAUUAUAAGUAUAAUCUGCUCAAUGAAUUUUAAAUAGCCGCAGAUUUUCUGUGUUAAGGUAGCAUAAUCACUUACCUUUUAAUUAAAGGUUUGUAUGAAGGAUUAAACAAUUAAAUUUCUUUUUUAUAAAUUCUUAUUAAACCUAAAUUAAAAAUAAAAAUGUUUUUAUUUAAAAAAUAGACGAUAAGACCCUAUUGAACUUCACUUCAGUUUAGCUGGGGAAGCUAAUUAAAUAUAAUUUUAAUUAUAUAAAAUAAAUUUCUAAUAUAAUUAAAUUAAAUAAGUUACCAUAGGGAUAACAGCGUAAUAUAAUUUUAAAGCUCAUAUUAAAAAUUAAGCUUACGACCUCGAUGUUGAAUU